UACGAAGGGGGCUAGCGUUGCUCGGAAUCACUGGGCGUAAAGGGCGCGUAGGCGGGCUCUUAAGUCAGGGGUGAAAGCCCAAGGCUCAACCUUGGAAUUGCCUUUGAUACUGAGGGCCUUGAGACCGGAAGAGGUCGGCGGAACUGCGAGUGUAGAGGUGAAAUUCGUAGAUAUUCGCAAGAACACCAGUGGCGAAGGCGGCCGACUGGUCCGGUUCUGACGCUGAGGAGCGAAAGCCAGGGGAGCAAACGGG
rnacentral:rRNA from 1 species